GAAAUAUUGUUAUUUUAUUGUUUUCUUUCUUAGGUUUAAUACGCAAUUGCUCUUUAAUUGCGCUUACUGCGAGCCAACACCUGCUCAAAUAGUGGACGAUUUGCUGCGAGCACUGCGCAGACAUUGCCAUCGCCAUCAUGGCGCCCGGCGUGUUUGGAGUUCGGAUAGAUCAGACUCUUCGUUGGCCUCGUUUUUAGGUGUUUGAUCCGUGACGUUUGGUCGAAAAAUCACAAGCGCGCAUGCCGUAGGUGUUUGCCUGGUUGCAAGAUCUUGCCGAUUUCAACGUUUUUCCACCUCUUCGCACUUUCUUCUUUGGCUCCCCACCGCGCGCAGGUUGGCGUACGCUGAACUGGACCCUCGCAGCAAGAAUGGCACGUGGGAAUUGACACCGCGAUCGUGGAACACAUGGCUGAUCUGCCUCGAAUAACUGCAAGCCGGCGCGUGCGUAGUGCCGUGGAGAACGAUCAGAAGUCCUGGACGACAAAGAAAAAAACUUCAAAGCUGCCUCUGCGAACCCCGCUCCUGGACAACAGCUGGGAGGCUCUGUGUUUAAACGCGUGCACCUUGGACGUCAUGCUCCUGCCUCUGCAAGCCCUUUUGCUGGACGCCAUGGAAGGCCCUCCACUCGAAAGUGUGCACCUUAGACUACAUGCUCAUCAAUACCAAGUUCUCUGUCCUUCUCGGCAUGAUUGUAGUGCCAUAUAAUA